CGGUGCUCCCUGCCUCUGCCUCCUUAAUCUCGGAUGCCUGGCCGGGCCUCCAAGGCAUCACUCAAGACGGUUCUGACCACAAGCCUCCCGAAGCGUCUCCUGGUCCAGCUUUGCCAGUUCACCUGCCCGCCCCAGCGACGGCGGCAGCUUCCCAGCGCCCUAUGUGGGCGGCCCGUCUGGGCUCCAUCAGGGGUCUUGCUGCCAUCCGUCCAUGGCGAGGUUGUCCCGGCGGGGGAAGCUGGGAGGGCCAGGGUCCUCCCAGUGCUGGCCUAGGGCCUGAGCACGUGCUGCCGUUGUACCUCCCACCCCGACAUCCCUCCCCCACCCCGCUCCCUGCCCCCGCCUCUGUCCCUGCACACCCAGCCCGCUGUCCUCCGAGGGACACGAGGCGGAGGCAUCCAUGCAGGGCGUAAAUCACGCGGCCCGUCAGAGUGGAGCCGCUGGCCGGCUGGACGUUAGGGAGAGGCAGGAGGUCGUUUUCUCCACGUCUUCCUCCAUCUGAAAGAGGCUUCUAGAGCGCCCAGGGGGAUGGUGGCUUAUGCGAUGCUGACUGUUUUCCCUCGCAGCCUCUGCCUGGAGCAAAUCCACGGUGACAAGGAGACAGUCCUGGCACUGCAGGCGUUAACCAGAGUUGACGAGGGGGACGCUGCCUCCCCAGAGCCUGUGGCGGGAGCAGAGCGAAGCCCGGCGCUCAGGGCUCCUUCCGGGAAACCAGAGCCGGGUCCGCAGCAGUUCCUCAGAGUCACCGACGCUGGGGACGUAGGGGUUUCCUCAAUCCAUCGUCCGCAUGGGGGAGUCCCACCGAUCGAUGUCCACGCAAGGCUCUCCUGGUGCCAGAAAGGUCAACAGCCAACCCAUUAGCCCCGCCCCCACCAUGAUGGCGGCCACGGACACCCCAGCCUGUUCUCGCACACGCCUGCACCACUGGGUCUAAAAGUAGGACCGUGGGGUCUGAUGAGGCACCUUUGACACCAUUAGCAUUAAUAUUCAAAAUGCAUUUCCAUCCGACCUGCAAAGUAAUCUAAAUUGCCCUGUGAAAGCAGGGCCUGUCCGCUUUGGAAGAUGGCCAUGUUGAGCUCACGUCCCCAGGGCGCAAGCCCGGGGCUACCUCGCCAUCUGCGUCAACACCGGCGCUCGGCCACGUUCCCGUUCGCCACAACCAACCACACGGCGAACGCGAUGGGCGUCCCUGGAGUUGCAGCUGCUUUAUAGAGACUGUGCUCAUGUUGGAUCCCGUCGGUCGUUACAAAUAUUCAGAGAAGAGGCAGCUGGGGACUCCGGCGGGCUCUCUGGAAAGUCUGCCUUGUCUCACGGCGUUCCUACCUGGUGGGACAGCAAAGUGACCCAGGCUUGGCCACUAUCCUGGCCCCAAGAAGGGCUGGGAGGAAUUCAGAACUGAAACUUUAUUAUAGGACUCAGCUGGGCAGAGUCAAAGUCAGCUGUACCCAGAAGGAAUCCUGCCCAGGCGAGUGCCCCGCCUCCUGCUUUGUCAUUUACAGGGGACUCUGUGUCCCUCGGGAAACAGCUCCAACGCCAUCCCUGCAUCCCUUGGUUCAUCCUCCAUUCUUACUUUGAAACCUCGGGCACCAUCAGGUUCACAGUCGAAAGCUAAGGCCUCAGACGCCCCUUCUCCACCCCUCCCCCAUCAGGCACCUCCGCCACCCCUCCCCCAUCAGCUGGGCUCGGCGAGGACCGGCAUUUUCUCUCAGGCUGAGAGUGGGGAUCUGUGGACUGAAAGGUGAUGAUUCAUGCAUGUGCACCAGGCGCCUCACCAACCGGGCCGGGGCGUCUGUAAGUGGAAGAAAACCCAAUAAUGUUGUGAAUUAUAAGGACAUUCACUUAAUGAGAGGUCUGCGGCCCGGGUCCCCGCCUGGGCGCGCUGACUUCCCCACCAUGCUCGCUGUGCUGCCGCUCACCCCAAAGUGUUUCACCUCAGGACCCGAGCAUCUCCUUCCAUCCCGUCUUCAUGGCAACUUCCAGAACUGGGGAAGGAAGGGAAGUGGGGAUAGCCCAUCCAGUGGUCAUUCUUGAAUAUAUCAGGGAGGCAAGUCUUCCCGAAAAGCAGCCCGUACCUCACGCCUUACACAAAAGUUAACUGAAAAUGGAUCGUGGCUCUCAAUGGAGCAUGGAGAGCUAUAAUGCUUUUAGAAGAAAACGUAAGAGAAAUUCUUCUUGACUCGGUGCCCGGCAAAGACGUAUUAGGCGUGACACCAAAGGCGUAAUUCAUACAAAAACAGAUGAAUGGAACUUCAUCAGAAAUGUUUGCUCUGUGAGAGAUUAUCAAGAGAAUGGAAACGGAAGCCCGGACUGGGGGGAAAUACUCUGAAGUCACAUAGUUGACAAGACUGUGUCUAGGAUAUAUAAGGAAUUCUCUGAACACAGUAAUAAGAAAUCAAGCAAUCCAAUUAAAACUUUGGCAAAUCGCUUGAGCAGACACUUGACCAAGGACUCACGGACGCCCCUUCUUUAGAGACGAGUGUUGAAUAAGCACAUGGAAAGAGGUUUCCCGUCACUAAUCAUGAGCCAUCUGCAAAUUACCCCUAGGAUGAGCCCGCUCGAGCGCCCGCUGGGGUGGACGAAAUAACCAAUACUGAGGACACCUGGGCUGACACGAUGUGGACCGCGAGAACUCCGGUGUCGCUGGUGGGAAUGCCAUCUGGCGCCUCCGAUCUGGAAAGUGGUGGUUUCCUGGGAAGGUGGGCAGACGCGGCUUUGCGACCCCACAAUCGCACCCGAGGGCUUUUCCCUGGGAAGAUGGGAGCUCACGUCGGUACAAAAUCCUGCUCACAGACGUUCAUGGCAGUUUUAUCUGUACUCACCCUGAAUCUGAAACAAUCCAAACGCUCUUCAGGCGGCGAACACAUAAAUAGACUGCGGCAGACCCGAUGAUGGAGCGUUACUCAGCAACACGCAGAUAGACGGGCUGUGAGUGCAGGUGGCACGGGCACCCUCGAGGGCUGUGUGCCGAGUGACAGGCGCCGGUCUCGAGUGGUUACACAUUGUACGAUUCCAUUUCUGUGUCAUUCCAGAUGUCACCCAGCUCCGGGGUACAGAGUACACCGUGGUGGCCUGGGGUCGGCAUAUGGGAGGGUGUGGCUGCCGGGGGCUUCUGUGUUCCAGGGGGGACAGCUCUGCGUCCCUGCUGUACUGACGGUGACUCGAAUCAGUGCACGUGGUAGGUUGGUAUAGGACUCUAUGCUGAGCUUUUUAAAAAUUAUUUUCUUAUUUUAGAAGUGGGGAGAGCCAAAGGGAAAAAGAGUGAGAGAG